CGCAGUGUGAAUAGUAAUCUUUGCUCGCCUGUAAAAGCUCGACAUUUUUAUAUGUGGUGUAUUUUCCAAAUAAUUUAAGAUAUAAAUAUUGAAGCGAAGGUGGUAGUAGACCUGUCCACAGUCUAAUUAAAGUUCAGCUUCUUUGGUACAUGUAGGCGGUAAAGCACCGCACCGGGACUUAUCUUAUGCAAAUUGUUUCAGCAGGUUGGUCGGAUGUUUGUUAGUAACUGUUUGGCAGGUUUCCCAAGUAGCGAUUGACCGAGUAGAACUGCUGUUUCUUCUUACGGGUAAAAAAAAGUUUCUGUCUCAAGCAGCAUCAUCUAAUAAAUAAAGGUUUUAAGGAUGGCUUUGAGGAAAAAUGAAAAUAAGGGGCAUUAAAUUCAGGGAUGUAAAAAUUAUUCAAAGUGAAUGGCGAGGACCAGCCUAUCUGUUUCUGCUUUAAAAAGCUCCUGAUGCUGUCAUACCUACUUAAUCUGAUUUGCACCACUUGGAACAUGGCCCUUGCAAGAAGUGCAGAGUGCAUAUUAAUCUCCUCUUCACUUCGAAGUAACUAUAACUGUAUUCACUAAUGUAAUGGACUGUCAUGACUAGAAGACCAUGUCUUUUGACAUUCCCAAACAGACCUGUCUAUGUUAUGAUGCUGUUUACAGUGAUAAAAGUGAGACUUAUUUAGAGCCAAACAAAAUCUUGCCAUUAGGAAAUGGACUGGGAAAAUUACACUUUUGGAAGGCCACUAGAGUAGUAAAUGUGUGCUGUUUAACAAAAGAAGAUGGAAAGCCAUGGUACAUCCAUAUACCCAUAUACUAAAAAAAUGUGAUGGAAAAGUUGGUGUGGUCAGAAUAAUGAUAUGGAUAGGAGCUGGAAGUAGGAUGCCUAUAAAGGUACGCACUAGUGGAAAUUAAUCCUAUCAGGACUCUGCUAUCAAUGAAUAGAGUCAACAAGGUUGCAGUCCCAACUGUCUGCUGAUUAUUGAAGCUUAUUCAAGUCUGGCAGACCCAAGCACAUGUAUCCGGGAUCACCACUGUGCCACUGUUCUUUCAGAGAACCCUUUGGUUUAAAACUGGCUUAUUUUCCGAAGAUAGAGAGCAGAUUGGUCCUUUGCGUACCGGAAUCCCUCAGAAGCUGCGGAUCAGAGCAUAGCGGUGGUCGAAGUCUGCAUGCAGGAGAAGAUACCGAAAUGGUUCUUCUUGAGUGAAAAGACCUCCG